rnacentral:rRNA from 1 species
AGUGAACGCUGGCGGUAGGCCUAACACAUGCAAGUCGAACGGCAGCACAGUAAGAGCUUGCUCUUACGGGUGGCGAGUGGCGGACGGGUGAGGAAUACAUCGGAAUCUACUUUUUCGUGGGGGAUAACGUAGGGAAACUUACGCUAAUACCGCAUACGACCUACGGGUGAAAGCAGGGGAUCUUCGGACCUUGCGCGAUUGAAUGAGCCGAUGUCGGAUUAGCUAGUUGGCGGGGUAAAGGCCCACCAAGGCGACGAUCCGUAGCUGGUCUGAGAGGAUGAUCAGCCACACUGGAACUGAGACACGGUCCAGACUCCUACGGGAGGCAGCAGUGGGGAAUAUUGGACAAUGGGCGCAAGCCUGAUCCAGCCAUACCGCGUGGGUGAAGAAGGCCUUCGGGUUGUAAAGCCCCUUUGUUGGGAAAGAAAAGCAGCAGGUUAAUACCCCGCUGUUCUGACGGUACCCAAAGAAUAAACACCGGCUAACUUCGU